rnacentral:rRNA from 1 species
UACGGGGGGGGCGAGCGUUGUUCGGAAUCACUGGGCGUAAAGGGCGCGUAGGCGGCCCGCACAAGUCUGCGGUGAAAACCCCCGGCUUAACCGGGGGCCGGCCGUGGAAACUGUCGGGCUGGAGGCUGGGAGAGGGCAGCGGAAUUCCCGGUGUAGCGGUGAAAUGCGUAGAUAUCUGGAGGAACACCGGUGGCGAAGGCGACAUCCUGGACCGGUAUUGACGCUGAGGCGCGAAAGCCAGGGGAGCAAACGGG